GGAUUAGAUACCCUGGUAGUCCACGCCAUAAACGUUGGGCACUUGGUGUUCCGAGCCUUGAGCUUGGAGUGCCGGAGCUAACGCAUUAAGUGCCCCGCCUGGGGAGUACGACCGCAAGGUUGAAACUCAAAGGAAUUGACGGGGGCCCGCACAAGCGGUGGAGCAUGUGGUUUAAUUCGAUGCAACGCGAAGAACCUUACCUAGGUUUGAACUUGUAGGGACGCGUCCUAGAAAUAGGACUUUCACUUCGGUGACCCUAUGAGAGGUGCUGCAUGGCUGUCGUCAGCUCGUGCUG
rnacentral:rRNA from 1 species